AAUAUCCGAGCGGAACAAUAUUACCACUAUAAUAUUACAACUCAGUAGUGUCAAGAGACUAGUACAACUUUGAAAGAAAUAACACUCUUUAUUUAAAAUACCUCACUAUAAUAUUACUACCACUCACUAGUUAUCUCACAGACAACAAUCUGUGGAUUACUCUCAUUGCUUCCUGCUUCUCUCGUUAUUUUGAGUGUGUUUCAAAGGAGAAAUGAAGCAUGCUAUUUAUAGAAAAUCAGAUUGUCAUUGGUCAAAAUACGUUUUGUGACUUGUUGCAAUUUGGAAACUUUUUCCAUCCGCCCAAAUUGAAAAAUUUGUCCAGCCACCCAAUUUGACCUUUUUUUCAUCUUUUUCUUUGUUUCUUUUUUUAUGGGUCCUACAAUGGAUACUUGUCUGCAAGACUAUGCUCUUCCGAGGAACCUUUUGAUACUGGGGGCAUCAGCAUAAGUUAGGCUUGCUCAAUCGAAAAAUGCUCUUGCACCUGCAAUAUCUUCAGUCGAUCAAUCAAGGAACCCUGCAUGGACUGACUCUGCAGAGUCUCUCUUGUCUCUAAGAUUUUCCUGAAAUCAUGAUCAUCUGUUCUUUGACGGUAAAUUCUCAAAUGAAAUAUGAAGUAGGCUACUAAGAUGGCAACAUAUCAACAGAUCAACCAUGACUUGGCAGGAUGAAGUCAGGUGGGCAAGUUCAUAAAUAAGGAGCAAGGCUGUGGAAGUAGAGGUUUAUAGGAUGGUGUUUGCAAGAUGUAUGUAUUUUUUAUGGCAGGAAAGGAACCUUAGUUAAAUCCUAAACAAGCAGAGGACUGUGAAUACUAUUACAAAACUGUUGUUGUAGGAGAUUUUUUGUAAGAAGGCAUGACUGGUAGAUUGAUGAGGAGGCUGGAACAACUAAACACUGAUCCACAACUGCAAUUUGUAUAGUGUAGGAAUGAUAAUUUUAUACAUGCUAAGUAGUAGUAACUGAAUGUUACUGAUAAGUUGGAGCUGUUAUGUCCAACUAUCAAGUUUUUUUUUUCUCUUGUACAUAACUCCAAUUGGUAAUCAUUAUGUCUAAAGAAGAAAUAAAAAUACAUAAUUGCUGUAAAAUAUGUAAUGCAUAUUAAGAAAAAACGAGAAAAAAAUCAUAAUUAAAAUAAAUAAAUCAUUAUAUAUGAUUAUGUAACAAUUAGUAAUUGAGAAAUAUCUUACAUGAAAGUUGAGUACAUCCACUCUUUAUCAUAUCAGUAUCCAAGGGUCGAGGCUAUCAAACUGCCAAUUUUAGAGAGAUAAUUUAGAACAAAAAAUAAUGCAUAGGUGCACCACAUCUGUUUCAGCAAAAGAUACACAUAAAUCACAUAAAAAUAAGGUCAAAAAGUAAUUGAGUUGUUUAAGCAACUUCAAUAGUUUUUUGAAUAAUUGAUUGAGUUGCUUAAAGAACUUCUAUAGCUACUUAAACAAAU
rnacentral:lncRNA from 1 species